rnacentral:rRNA from 1 species
GGGGAAUCUUGCGCAAUGGGCGAAAGCCUGACGCAGCCAUGCCGCGUGAAUGAUGAAGGUCUUAGGAUUGUAAAAUUCUUUCACCGGGGACGAUAAUGACGGUACCCGGAGAAGAAGCCCCGGCUAACUUCGUGCCAGCAGCCGCGGUAAUACGAAGGGGGCUAGCGUUGCUCGGAAUUACUGGGCGUAAAGGGAGCGUAGGCGGACAUUUAAGUCAGGGGUGAAAUCCCGGGGCUCAACCUCGGAAUUGCCUUUGAUACUGGGUGUCUUGAGUAUGAGAGAGGUGUGUGGAACUCCGAGUGUAGAGGUGAAAUUCGUAGAUAUUCGGAAGAACACCAGUGGCGAAGGCGACACACUGGCUCAUUACUGACGCUGAGGCUCGAAAGCGUGGGGAGCAAACAGGA